CCUACGGGAGGCAGCAGUGAGGAAUAUUGGUCAAUGGGCGGGAGCCUGAACCAGCCAAGUCGCGUGAGGGAAGACGGUCCUCUGGGUUGUAAACUUCUUUUAUAUGGGAAUAAAAUGUUCCACGUGUGGGAUUUUGUAUGUACCAUAUGAAUAAGGAUCGGCUAACUCCGUGCCAGCAGCCGCGGUAAUACGGAGGAUCCGAGCGUUAUCCGGAUUUAUUGGGUUUAAAGGGUGCGUAGGCGGAUCGUUAAGUCAGUGGUCAAAUUGAGGGGCUCAACCCCUUCCCGCCAUUGAAACUGGCGCUCUUGAGUGGAAGAGAAGUAUGCGGAAUGCGUGGUGUAGCGGUGAAAUGCAUAGAUAUCACGCAGAACCCCGAUUGCGAAGGCAGCAUGCCGGCUUCCGACUGACGCUGAAGCACGAAAGCGUGGGGAUCGAACAGGAUUAGAUACCCCAGUAGUC
rnacentral:rRNA from 1 species